rnacentral:rRNA from 1 species
CCUACGGGGGGCAGCAGUGGGGAAUAUUGCACAAUGGGCGCAAGCCUGAUGCAGCCAUGCCGCGUGUGUGAAGAAGGCCUUCGGGUUGUAAAGCACUUUCAGCGGGGAGGAAGGCGGUGAGGUUAAUAACCUCAUCGAUUGACGUUACCCGCAGAAGAAGCACCGGCUAACUCCGUGCCAGCAGCCGCGGUAAUACGGAGGGUGCAAGCGUUAAUCGGAAUUACUGGGCGUAAAGCGCACGCAGGCGGUCUGUCAAGUCGGAUGUGAAAUCCCCGGGCUCAACCUGGGAACUGCAUUCGAAACUGGCAGGCUAGAGUCUUGUAGAGGGGGGUAGAAUUCCAGGUGUAACGGUGAAAUGCGUAGAGAUCUGGAGGAAUACCGGUGGCGAAGGCGGCCCCCUGGACAAAGACUGACGCUCAGGUGCGAAAGCGUGGGGAGCAAACAGGAUUAGAUACCCGAGUAGUC